rnacentral:rRNA from 1 species
UUGGAGGGCAAGUCUGGUGCCAGCAGCCGCGGUAAUUCCAGCUCCAAUAGCGUAUAUUAAAGUUGUUGCAGUUAAAAAGCUCGUAGUUGAAUUUCGGGACCAAUUUGUUGGUCGUGCCUCGGUACGUACUGGUAUUAUUGGUUUCUCCCUUCUGAAGAACCUUGAUGUCAUUAAUUUGGUGUCUUGGGGAAUCAGGACUGUUACUUUGAAAAAAUUAGAGUGUUUAAAGCAGGCAUACGCUUGAAUACAUUAGCAUGGAAUAAUGAAAUAGGACGUUUGAUUCUAUUUUGUUGGUUUCUAGGAUCGACGUAAUGAUUAAUAGGGAUAGUUGGGGGCAUUAGUAUUCAAUUGUCAGAGGUGAAAUUCUUGGAUUUAUUGAAGACUAACUACUGCGAAAGCAUAUGCCAAGGAUGUUUUCAUUAAUCAAGAACGAAAGUUAGGGGAUCGAAGACGAUCAGAUACCGUCGUAGUCUUAACCAUAAACUAUGCCGACUAGGGAUCGGAUGAUGUUAUUUUUAAUGACUCAUUCGGCACCUUACGGGAAAC